rnacentral:misc_RNA from 1 species
UAAAUGGGUGUGAGGGUUUAACUGUAAGCAGACAUUCAAACUUGCAUCCACAUAUCAAAACUCUUCGAAAAAAAUCUCCCUCUUUAUUUUUCUUUUAUUAUAUAUUUUUUUCCUUGAGGGUGAUGGUGACAGUUAAUUAGGAGUUUGAAUUCCACACACUGACCAUGUAACAUAAACUUUUGCAGAUCCAAGGAAAGUAUUUUGUUAGA